rnacentral:pre_miRNA from 1 species
CAAAUACUCCCUCCGUCCGGAAAUACUUGUCAUCAAAAUGGAUAAAAGGAAAUGUAUCUAGACAUAUUUUAGUUUUAGAUACAUCUCUUUUUAUCCAUUUUGAUGACAAGUAUUUUCGUACAGAGGGAGUAGAAA